rnacentral:rRNA from 1 species
UAGGGAAUAUUGGACAAUGGGCGCAAGCCUGAUCCAGCCAUGCCGCGUGAGUGAAGAAGGCCCUCGGGUUGUAAAGCUCUUUUGUCCGGAAAGAAAAGCAUCGGGCUAAUACCCUGGUGUUCUGACGGUACCGGAAGAAUAAGCACCGGCUAACUUCGUGCCAGCAGCCGCGGUAAUACGAAGGGUGCAAGCGUUACUCGGAAUUACUGGGCGUAAAGCGUGCGUAGGUGGUUUGUUAAGUCUGAUGUGAAAGCCCUGGGCUCAACCUGGGAAUGGCAUUGGAAACUGGCGGACUCGAGUGCGGUAGAGGGGUGUGGAAUUCCCGGUGUAGCAGUGAAAUGCGUAGAGAUCGGGAGGAACACCAGUGGCGAAGGCGACACCCUGGACCAGCACUGACACUGAGGCACGAAAGCGUGGGGAGCAAACAGGAUUAGAUACCCUGGUAGUCCACGCCCUAAACGAUGCGAACUGGAUGUUGGGUGCAACUUGGCACUCAGUAUCGAAGCUAACGCGUUAAGUUCGCCGCCUGGGGAGUACGGUCGCAAGACUGAAACUUAAAUGAAUUGACGGGGUCAUAGCUGUUUCCU